AUUGCUCUUGGGAGAGCCGAGGGCCAGAGUGGCUGCAGGUUUAAGUGGAAGAAAAUAAUACAAGGCCUGAACAUUCAAGCUUUGCCAGUUCCUCCCAGAUGCACCCUAUCAUUCCAUGGAUGAAGAUAUGGAAAAGACAAGAGUGGGGUGCCAUGAGUGUACAGACUAGACAUUCUGUGAUCCCAUCUGCGCCCUUGAAGACUCACAGCAGGAUCAUCUCAGUCCCUUGGUAUGAGUCAGAGAGCCUCCCCUUGCACCCCAGGCCAUCUGUCCAGCCUUCAAGCUUUUGCCCCUGCCACUGGCAGUGCCUACCUGUCCUUCAUUUCCCAGCUCAGCCCUGAAUCUACAGUGCCAACCCCUGAAGAUGUCCACAGCACUGCCUUCCUGACACCUGCCUGACUCAGCCUUGUCUCCUUGGUCCUCUUGUCUGGACUCAGUGGCUUCUGAUCCCUUCCCUUGCUGCUCCACUGCUCCUUUGCUCUGGGGAGGUCUUCACCUUCGACACAGCAAGACUCAUGGCUCAUGGCUGUCUCAGUUGCUUCUGCCGAAGAGCUCAGUCCUGUCUCCCCAGAGUAACUGUGAGCUUCUUGGGAAAGGAAACACAUCUUGGAGUUCCCUGGCUCUUCCACUGUGCCUGGUAAGGU
ensembl:antisense Gm15870 predicted gene 15870